UACGUAGGGUGCGAGCGUUAAUCGGAAUUACUGGGCGUAAAGCGUGCGCAGGCGGUUUGCUAAGACCGAUGUGAAAUCCCCGGGCUUAACCUGGGAACUGCAUUUGUGACUGGCGGGCUAGAGUAUGGCAGAGGGGGGUAGAAUUCCACGUGUAGCAGUGAAAUGCGUAGAGAUGUGGAGGAAUACCGAUGGCGAAGGCAGCCCCCUGGGCCAAUACUGACGCUCAUGCACGAAAGCGUGGGGAGCAAACAGG
rnacentral:rRNA from 1 species